GUUUUAUUUGUUGGUUCGGGGUUUUUUUUCCUAUACAGCCUUUCUUCUUAUAAGAGACUCCAAGUGGUUCACAAUCAAUGAGGGCUAUACAAGAAUCACAAUCGAAAGCACCAUACAAAACUAUCCUUUUUUAAAAAAAGCAAAACGUAGCAAUAUUAAACCACCAUUUAAAACAAGCCACAUUUUUUUAACACCCAAACCCUCUGAAUUCAAUAAAUACAGCAUUUCUAUUUUUUAAAAAACCACCCUGCUUAUUGCUUAAAAGCCCACCUGAAAACCUUAUCUGUCGAUGGAAGGACAAGAGAAAGGGGCCCCACUUGGCUUCUUGAGUGCCAUCAACUUGGGAGCAACUUCUGAGAAGACCCUCAGAAGAACUGAAAAGCUAAGAAGCUUUCGAAGAAUGACAUAGAUCAGACAUUAAUCCAGGCAACUCCUUCUGUAAUCUCGUGGAUUACAACAGCAUUCC
rnacentral:lncRNA from 1 species